rnacentral:rRNA from 1 species
GACGAACCGUACGAACGUUAUUCGGAAUCACUGGGCUUAAAGGGUGCGUAGGCGGCGCGGAAAGUUGGGUGUGAAAUCCCUCGGCUCAACCGAGGAACUGCGUCCAAAACUGCCGUGCUCGAGGGAGACAGAGGUGAGCGGAACUUAGGGUGGAGCGGUGAAAUGCGUUGAUAUCCUAAGGAACACCGGUGGUGAAAGCGGCUCACUGGGUCUCUUCUGACGCUGAGGCACGAAAGCUAGGGUAGCGAACGGG